GGUGGUUUUAAUUUCUUAGCUCAUAGGGCUGCAAACAGUUGUUGCCAAAAUAAACAGAUCCUCAGUAUCUGUUUAAGGGAAGCCACAUUCAGAGAAGCUUACAUUACAAAUUGGUAAGUUUUGAAAUAUGAUUGUUUGAUGUUAGGUAACAAGUGCUGACACUAACCCACACUUCUCGAUUCCUAUUGCCUGUAUGGAGGUUUUAUUUUUGAAGAAUAGAUAUAUCCACAGGUGUGCAACUGACACUGAAGUAGAAACACUUCUGAAAACAUGGUGCAGGCUCCGCUAAUUUACUCUAGUGGUAGGAAAAAAAACAGUGAAAGGUGUCAUCUUGCUUGAGAUGACAAUAAGACAUAUUUUAGGUCUAGAAACCUUCACUUGGGCAUACAGCUAGCUGUAAGUGAAAUCAUUGAACUAUGGGUCAGGAGAGCUGUGUUCUAGUCUAGCUCUGCUCCUAGAGAGAGCCACAAGAUCUUGCUAGGGAUGGCUCAUACCCUCGCCUCCUGUUUGGCUAUUUUGGAUUUUGAACGCUCCAACUAUAGACUGCCAGCCUGUACUUGUGCAGUGCUCACUGCUACUGAUAGUACUAAUGACUGAUACAUAUUUAAUUUAUUACAGCAUUCAGAAGAAGAGCUUGGACCUUCACAUAUGCUGACAUCACACUGGUGAGGUGUGGUUUUUGCUGCUAUUCUUCCUCUGAGAAACAACUUCUCCAAAAACACAUCAAGAAGUAUCACCUAGGUUCAGGAACUUUAUUAACCAGUUCCCAGCCCACCUUUACCCUCAAGUCACUUCCUGUGGAAUAUUAGGUUCUUCAUGCUUAAACUUCCACCAGAGCAUCCCAGCAAAUGCGGAAGCUGCUGGCAUUGUCAGACUUCUGUGCUGAAAGCCAGGGGUUAUCUGGAAGAAGAGAAGAAACAGUCCUUAUGCGGCAAUUAAAAGCACUUAGACUGGUCUUCCCAAAAGCCUUGUGUGUAUUUUGAUACAGGUGGAAACUCCAGUGUGCUGAGAGGAACAUGAAGAUUUGUGUUGCACAAAGGGUGGACAUGUCGAUUUUUUGUUCUGGUUACCUCUUAUUCUGCUUACUUACAAAUGAAGAGUUUGACAUUUGAAGGCAGAAUCUGUUAAAAUGUACCAAAGCUGACAGUGAACCCUACAGGUUGUUUCUGUACUACAGCUCUUAUUUUUGAUACAGCUCUCUACCUAAAUAAAUAAAUUUUAUAUAUAUAUAUUAUUUUUAAUAUUUAUAAACAUAUAUACAAGUAAAUUAUUUAAGAAAAUUUCCUGAUGCUGUUGGACUCAAUGUGGUAAAAAAAAAAAUCCUUAAAUUCCUUUGUUUUUAUUUUUUGUAACAAAAUGUGUCUAUUAUCAUAAGCUGAUCCAUUGUUGAAGUAAAAAUAUAAAUUAUUGAAAUAUG
rnacentral:lncRNA from 1 species